rnacentral:rRNA from 1 species
GUAGGGAAUCUUCCACAAUGGACGCAAGUCUGAUGGAGCAACGCCGCGUGAGUGAAGAAGGCUUUCGGGUCGUAAAACUCUGUUAUUGAAGAAGAACGUGCGUGACAGUAACUGGUCAUGCAGUGACGGUAUUCAAUCAGAAAGUCACGGCUAACUACGUGCCAGCAGCCGCGGUAAUACGUAGGUGGCAAGCGUUGUCCGGAUUUAUUGGGCGUAAAGCGAGUGCAGGCGGUCUUUUAGGUCNGAUGUGAAAGCCUUCGGCUUAACCGAAGAAGGGCA